AUUGAACGCUGGCGGCAGGCCUAACACAUGCAAGUCGAACGAGUGGCGGACGGGUGAGUCAUGUCUGGGCAACUGCCUGAUGGAGGGGGAUAACUACCGGACACGAUCGCUACUACCGCAUACCAUCAGAUGUGCCCCGGUGGGAUUAGAGUGUUGGUGGGGUAAAGGCUAACAAAGACGACGAUCCCUAACUGGUCUGUGAGGAUGACCAGCAAACAUGGAACUUAGACACGGUCCAGACUCCUACGGGAGGCAGCAGGGGGGAAUAUUGCACAAUGGGCGCAAGCCUGAUGCAGCCAUGCCGCGUGUAUGAAGAAGGCCUUCGGGUUGUAAAGUACUUUCAGCGGGGAGGCGUUACCCGCAGAAGAAGCACCGGCUAACUCCGUGCCAGCAGCCGCGGUAAUUC
rnacentral:rRNA from 1 species